GAAAUGCGAUAAGUAGUGUGAAUUGCAGAAUUCAGUGAAUCAUCGAAUCUUUGAACGCACAUGGCGCCCCUUGGUAUUCCAUGGGGCAUGCCUGUUCGAGCGUCAUUUGUACCCUCAAGCUCUGCUUGGUGUUGGGUGUUUGUCCCCGUCUCCGCGCGUGGACUCGCCCCAAAGUGAUUGGCAGCCGGCGUACUGGUCCCGGAGCGCAGCACAUGUCGCGCAAACGAGUGCCUUGGUACGGCGGCGUCCAUAAGCCCCUCUCUCACGCUCUUGACCUCGGAUCAGGUAGGGAUACCCGCUGAACUUAAGC
rnacentral:misc_RNA from 1 species